UACGAAGGGGGCGAGCGUUGUUCGGAAUUACUGGGCGUAAAGGGCGCGCAGGCGGCUCUGAAAGUCAGAUGUGAAAGCCCCGGGCUUAACCUGGGAACUGCAUUUGAUACUCUAGAGCUUGAGUACGGGAGAGGAGAGUGGAAUUCCCAGUGUAGAGGUGAAAUGCGUAGAGAUUGGGAGGAACACCAGCGGCGAAGGCGGCGACCUGGACAAGCACUGACACUCAACUGCGAAAGCGUGGGUAGCAAACAGG
rnacentral:rRNA from 1 species